AACGAACGCUGGCGGCAUGCCUAACACAUGCAAGUCGAACGAAACCUUCGGGUCUAUGGGCGCACGGGUGCGUAACGCGUGGGAACCUUCCCUUAUGUUCGGAAUAACUCCCCGAAUGGGGUGCUAAUACCGGAUAAUGUCUUCUGACCAAAGAUUUAUCGCCUUUGGAUGGGCCCUCGUUGGAUUAGCUAGUUGGUAGGGUAAAAGCCUCCCAAGGCGACGAUCCAUAGCUGGUCUGAGAGGAUGAUCAGCCACACUGGGACUGAGACACGGCCCAGACUCUUACGCGAGGCAGCAGUGGGGAAUAUUGGACCAUGGGCGAAAGCAUGAUCCAGCAAUGACGCGUGAGCGAUGAAGGCAUUAGGGUUGUAAAGCUCUUUUACCCGGGAUGAUAAUGACAGUACCGGGAGAAUAAGCUACGGCUAACUACGUG
rnacentral:rRNA from 1 species